ensembl:lncRNA
CUUCCCGCGACGCGUACUGAAAUUGUUUUUUCAAAUCGUGCUCAAGAGAAGAAACUAUUGGCUGUCUUACUGAAGGUCGUCUUACUUAGCCCUCAUCUUUGAUCUGGGUUACUGGCCAUGGUGUAUAAAUAGAAUAGGAAAUAUGCUUGCAACCAUUAAAACGUUGUAAAAUUGUUAUCCUCUUGUCUCGACUAUAUGGUUGGAUAUACUUGUCGAAAGAAUACCCUUAUUGGCGAGUUAAAAAGAGGGGGUAUAAAUAGCCUAAACAAGGAAGUUUGUGGACUACAAUUUAGCGGAGUGCUUGAGUGAGGGCAACGGAAACAGAAGCAGGGGUCCUUGGGAAUGGGGUAGGGGGAACCUGAACAGUGAGUCAUGGUUCACAGCGGUGCCAAUGCCCCUCUCAUGCCCACAACUCCGUCCGCUUCACCUCUCCUGGCAGUCAGUGCGCAGCCUCUACAUUCAACUCACACAGAUGAAGGCCUCACAGAGCCCUCCGGCGAUCUGAUAACCUCAAGCUCAGACGCCACCGAGGCUCCUCAGGUCAAACCGGCCCCCAAUGACCAUCCAGAGUCAGGCCCGGGAUCACCUCUGAGCCCCGACCAGUUCCAGGCUGCCGGGAACGGACGAUCUUCAGGCAGGAAGCGGACCCCGAAGGCCUGUGACUGCUGCGGUCCCAACGGCAAAGGACACAAUGUCACGACCACGCCCACGCCAAGCAGGGGAGGCCGGGGUCGUGGGCGGCCCAGAGGAAGGGGUCGGGGCAGGCCCAGAGGCAGGGCCUCUGGGCCUCUGGGCUACAACGGGGACACCCCCAAAGGCACGGGGGGGGGUCAUCUGACAAGGAUUAAGACUUUUGAACUGAAUGAUGAUGAUGAUGAUGAGGAUGAGGACAGUGAUAAAUACGAUGUGGCGAAAGGGACCGGGGUCGACGGCCAGUCGGACACUUAUUUAGAUCUGCCAGGUGAAAGCGCUUGGCAGGAUGGACCAAUGAAAAGCCUCGUCGCCAAAGAGAUUAGGAGUGACUCCCAAGAGAAAGGGUCGGCCCUGGUGGUGCGGGGGGGCCGAGUAGCGAGGAGGGGGAGAGGUGCCAGCGUCGGCAGGACGUUGGAGAACACAGG